rnacentral:rRNA from 1 species
CCCAAAGGCGACGAUCAGUAGCCGGUCUGAGAGGAUGAACGGCCACAUUGGGACUGAGACACGGCCCAGACUCCUACGGGAGGCAGCAGUGGGGAAUCUUCCGCAAUGGGCGAAAGCCUGACGGAGCAAUGCCGCGUGAGUGAAGAAGGUCUUCGGACCGUAAAGCUCUGUUGUUCAUGACGAACGUGCAGGGGGUGAAUAAUUUCCUGUAAUGACGGUAGUGAACGAGGAAGCCACGGCUAACUACGUGCCAGCAGCCGCGGUAAUACGUAGGUGGCGAGCGUUGUCCGGAAUUAUUGGGCGUAAAGAGCAUGUAGGCGGUUUUUUAAGUCUGGAGUGAAAAUGCGGGGCUCAACCCCGUAUGGCUUUGGAUACUGGAAGACUUGAGUGCAGGAGAGGAAAGGGGAAUUCCCAGUGUAGCGGUGAAAUGCGUAGAUAUUGGGAGGAACACCAGUGGCGAAGGCGCCUUUCUGGACUGUGUCUGACGCUGAGAUGCGAAAGCCAGGGUAGCGAACGGGAUUAGAUACGUCGACGCGGCCG